rnacentral:rRNA from 1 species
GACGAACGCUGGCGGCGUGCUUAACACAUGCAAGUCGUACGCUGAAGCCCGCGCUUGCGUGGGUGGAUGAGUGGCGAACGGGUGAGUAACACGUGGGUAAUCUGCCUUGUACUCUGGGAUAAGCCUGGGAAACUGGGUCUAAUACCGGAUAGGACCAUUCCUCGCAUGGGGGGUGGUGGAAAGCUCCGGCGGUAUGAGUUGAGCCCGCGGCCUAUCAGCUUGUUGGUGGGGUGAUGGCCUACCAAGGCGGUGACGGGUAGCCGGCCUGAGAGGGCGACCGGCCACACUGGGACUGAGACACGGCCCAG